rnacentral:misc_RNA from 1 species
UCCGGUUUGUCACCGGCAGUCUCGCAUGAGUCCCCAACUAAAUGCUGGCAACAUACGACGGGGGUUGCGCUCGUUGCGGGACUUAACCCAACGUCUCACGACACGAGCUGACGACAGCCAUGCACCACCUGUGAAAGUGCCCCGAAGGGAAGCCGUGUUUCCACGGCGGUCACUCACAUGUCAAGCCCAGGUAAGGUUCUUCGCGUCGCUUCGAAUUAAGCCACAUGCUCCGCCGCUUGUGCGGGCCCCCGUCAAUUCCUUUGAGUUUUAAUCUUGCGACCGUACUCCCCAGGCGGAAUGCUUAAAGCGUUAGCUGCGCCACUAGUGAGUAAACCCACUAACGGCUGGCAUUCAUCGUUUACGGCGUGGACUAC